UAAAACGGAGUUGUAAAUCGAAAGUUAUGUAUGUUUUAAGUUUGAUUAAUGGUAAAAAUGGGAGCUGGGCAUUUGCAGCAACAAUCCAGCAAACCUGCUGUUGAAAACAAGUCGUCGCGUCACGCGACGAUAAAGCUUCAGCACCGUCGUGCACCGUGACCAUUGUUACGCCCCGCGAGCGCCCAGAGUAUGGGCCGUCGCGCCCCGCGAGAAGCCAGAGAUCUGGAAUAAGUUGUGAUGCCGGAGGACGAUCAAGCUCAACGAAGAACCGAACACGAAUGAGAUAAAAGCUUCCGCACGCGGUUUCGAUGUCUUUUUUUAAGUGACGAAUCCAUACAUAUUUUGUUGUAUUUAUUAUUAUUGAGAAAAGUUUUUAAUUUAUCCGUAUUUUCCAAUGUACUUGUAAUUAUAAUUACAUGAUUAUGUUCGUAAUUUAAACGAAAACCGCUUAAUAAUA